rnacentral:rRNA from 1 species
AUGGAGGAGGGUUUUUUGAAUCAUAUGAGAAAUCAGUGGCUCGUCAAACCGCAGAUUGCCUUGCAAACACCGGUGAUUCAUGUGUUGUCCCCAGGGAGGGUCGAAAGGGGCAUCAAAGACAUUAAAGUGGUUCAGCUGUCAUCCGAGCAUAACACGAGCUUUCAUGCUGUAAGGGAUGAGCUAAGACAGGUACACCCAAAUGACCCUCAGAUCGUGGCCCUGAAGCACAACUUUUGGCGCAUGAAGGGCAUUAUUCAGGUUUCCAGAAUGAUUGGCCACACCAAGCUAAAAAGUUCGGAAUUUAACUUUGGAUGA